rnacentral:ncRNA from 1 species
GAGAGAGAGAGAGAGAGAGAGAAUUACAUACAAAGGAGUGCCCAUUAGAAUGUCAACUGACUAUCAAGAGAAACACUUCAGGCCAAAAGGGAGUGGCAUGAAGUACUCAAUGUAAUGAAAAGCAAGGGCCUAAAUCCAAGACUACUGUAUCCAGAGAGGCUACCAAUUAUAAUUGAAGGUGAGGAGAACUGAGAUGAUGGCAUAGGUAAAUGCCAGUAUUUGCCACCUCCCAUAACCACAUCAAAAUUACAACUAAGUUCAUACAUUUGGUGUAUGUGCUUGGCUGAGGAGCCAAUGGAGUGAAGCUACCAUCUGUGGGAUUAUGACUGAAUGCCUCUAAGUCAGAAUCCCGCUCAGGCAGAACUAUACGGCAGUGCCGAGGGAGCCUUGGUUGGCCUCGGAUAGCCAGUCCUCCCACUCGUCCCUGCCAGUGGGCGCAGCAUUCCCCCACCGAGCAUCGGACCGGGGUCAGUAUGGAGAGCCCUUCGUCCUGGGAGACGUGGUGCGACCAGAAAGGGGGCCGCCCCCACGCCCUUCACACAAUGCACGUUCCUGGGGAACCUAGCGCUAAACCAUUCGUAGAGGACCUGCUUCUGGGUCGGGGUUUCGUACUUAGCAGAGCAGCUCCCUCACUGUGAUCUAUUGAAAGUCAGCCCUUGACACAAGGGUUUGU